UACGUAGGGUGCAAGCGUUGUCCGGAAUUAUUGGGCGUAAAGAGCUCGUAGGCGGUCUGUCGCGUCGGCUGUGAAAUCCCGGAGCUCAACUCCGGGUCUGCAGUCGAUACGGGCAAACUGGAGUACUGCAGGGGAGACUGGAAUUCCUGGUGUAGCGGUGAAAUGCGCAGAUAUCAGGAGGAACACCGGUGGCGAAGGCGGGUCUCUGGGCUGACACUGACGCUGAGACGCGAAAGCGUGGGGAGCGAACAGG
rnacentral:rRNA from 1 species